GACGAACGCUGGCGGCGUGCUUAACACAUGCAAGUCGAACGAAGUGGCGAACGGGUGAGUAACGCGUAAUCAACCUGCCCUUCAGCGGGGGACAACAGGUGGAAACGACUGCUAAUACCGCAUACUGAGGGAGGGGCUUGCGUCUGAUUAGCUGGUUGGGGGGGUAACGGCCCACCAAGGCGAUGAGCAGUAGCCGGGCUGAGAGGAGUAACGGCCACAUCGGGAACGGGAACAGGUCCAGAAUCCCAAGGGAGGCAGGCGGGGGGAAGUUUCCGCAAUUGACGAAAGUCUGAAGGAGCAACGGCGCGGGAGUGAUGAAGGCCUUCGGGUUGUAAAGCUCUGUUAAUCGGGAAGCGGUACCGGAAUAGAAAGCCACGGCUAACUACGUGCCAGCAGCCGCGGUAAUAC
rnacentral:rRNA from 1 species